rnacentral:rRNA from 1 species
GAACGAGUUCUCGUUGAUGAUCGGUGCUUGCACCGAGAUUCAACAUGGAACGAGUGGCGGACGGGUGAGUAACACGUGGGUAACCUGCCCUUAAGUGGGGGAUAACAUUUGGAAACAGAUGCUAAUACCGCAUAGAUCCAAGAACCGCAUGGUUCUUGGCUGAAAGAUGGCGUAAGCUAUCGCUUUUGGAUGGACCCGCGGCGUAUUAGCUAGUUGGUGAGGUAAUGGCUCACCAAGGCGAUGAUACGUAGCCGAACUGAGAGGUUGAUCGGCCACAUUGGGACUGAGACACGGCCCAAACUCCUACGGGAGGCAGCAGUAGGGAAUCUUCCACAAUGGACGCAAGUCUGAUGGAGCAACGCCGCGUGAGUGAAGAAGGCUUUCGGGUCGUAAAACUCUGUUGUUGGAGAAGAAUGGUCGGCAGAGUAACUGUUGUCGGCGUGACGGUAUCCAACCAGAAAGCCACGGCUAACUACGUGCCAGCAGCCGCGGUAAUACGUAGGUGGCAAGCGUUAUCCGGAUUUAUUGGGCGUAAAGCGAGCGCAGGCGGUUUUUUAAGUCUGAUGUGAAAGCCCUCGGCUUAACCGAGGAAGCGCAUCGGAAACUGGGAAACUUGAGUGCAGAAGAGGACAGUGGAACUCCAUGUGUAGCGGUGAAAUGCGUAGAUAUAUGGAAGAACACCAGUGGCGAAGGCGGCUGUCUGGUCUGUAACUGACGCUGAGGCUCGAAAGCAUGGGUAGCGAACAGGAUUAGAUACCCUGGUAGUCCAUGCCGUAAACGAUGAAUGCUAGGUGU